ACGCUGGCGGCGUGCCUAAUACAUGCAAGUCGAAUGGUUAGGCUUGCUAACCAUGGCGAACGGGUGAGUAACACGUAGGCAACCUGUCUAGGAGACGAGGAUAACCAUUGGAAACGAUGGAUAAUACUGGAUAAGAUAUUGGGAGGCAUCUUCUGAUAUUUUAAAGAUUUAUCGCUAAUAGAGGGGCCUGCGGCGCAUUAGCUAGUUGGUGAGGUAACGGCCCACCAAGGCGAUGAUGCGUAGCCGGACUGAGAGGUUGAACGGCCACAAUGGGACUGAGAACGGCCCAUACUCCUACGGGAGGCAGCAGUAGGGAAUUUUCGGCAAUGGACGAAAGUCUGACCGAGCAACGCCGCGUGAACGAAGAAGUAUUUCGGUAUGUAAAGUUCUUUUAUUUGGGAAGAAAAUACAUUGACUGUACCAAAUGAAUAAGCUCCGGCUAACUACGUGCCAGCCGCUGC
rnacentral:rRNA from 1 species